rnacentral:rRNA from 1 species
UUUUUGAAAAUAAUAAAAAGUNUAAUUUGCCCACUGAAUUUAUUUAAAGGGCUGCAGUAUAUUGACUGUACAAAGGUAGCAUAAUCAAUAGUCUUUUAAUUGAAGACUUGUAUGAAUGAUUUGAUGAAAUAUGAACUGUCUCUUUUUUAAAAAUAAAAUUUAAUUUUUUAGUUAAAAAGCUAAAAUAAUUAUAAAAGACGAGAAGACCCUAUAGAGUUUUAUAGUUAUUUAAUUUAAAAAUUUUAUAUAUAAUUUAAAUUUAAAAUUAAUUAAUUAUUUUAUUGGGGUGAUAGAAAAAUUAAAAAAACUUUUUUUAAAAAUUUAACAUUAAUUUAUGAAAUUAUGAUCCAUAAUUUAUGAUUAAAAGAAUCAAUUACCUUAGGGAUAACAGCGUAAUUUUUUUUUUUAGUACAAAUAAGAAAAAGAGUUUGCGACCUCGAUGUUGGAUUAAGAUAAAAUUUAAAUGCAAAAGUUUAAAAUUUUUGAUCUGUUCGAUCAUUAAAAUCUUACAUGAUCUGA